UACUCCCUUCGCAUUUUGCCUAUUUGAGUUAUGUCUUUAUUGGUUACUCAAGUGGAGCAGGGGAAAUAUCCUUUUAUAAUUUAAGCAAACAAGUGUUUGUCUUAUAUCUUUUCAGAGGAAACAAUA
ensembl:snoRNA